GCUCCGGUGCGCAGGUGCAUGUCUGCGCACAAUAGCGCGACUGUCUCGCGCCACAGGUAAUAGCUGGACUCAGGUGUUGUAACACGACACUGAACCAUGUGAUCAGCGACGAGAAUUUAGGAAGAAGAAGAACUCAGCUCGAGCAUUCACUCAACACUCUAGUAAAUACCAACCGCACAAGACCACCAUUGAUAGCAGGGCAUCUUGAAGGACAAUGUAUUAUUAUUAUGAGCAGGACGCCGGAGUGUCGCGAUAGUUUCGGUUUAAACAGUUCAUUUCACCGGUAAGGUGAGGCGGAAGCGAGCUACGGUCAGAUCUAUUGGAUAUACAGUCUGCAUAUAAACUAUUCGUCGGGGAACAUCGUGGAUUAUGAAGGUACACACAGCUCGCUAGAGACAGAUAGGACUGCUUUAAUUCUUUGAUCUCGGACAUGAUUUAUUGACCACCUCUGCUCCACCCUACCUGGAGCAUCAGCCCCUUCUGGUUGAGGGUAGGGGUGCAGAUUGACUCCAUCCCGGAGAUGAUACGGCAGGUUGGGCUAUUGGCAGGGAGUUUUCUGCUGCUGCUGCUUCUCAGGAAUGUUUCGGCCCAGGGGGAAACGACCACAGUGCCCAAUAGCACUACAACUCCCAGCCCAGACCAGGGCCCUGAUAUUGUGGCCAUUGUAGUACCAACUGUGGUCGUGGGACUGCUGGCUAUUUUAGCAGCUGUUCUGGUGUUUCUGUUCUGCGUGGUAAAGAAGAAGAGACAGACGGAAGGGGCGUAUCGACCCAGCGCAGAGGAGCAGUCAGGAGCACGUAGUGUUGAGACGCCUGACGCUCUGAAAUUACCCAAGGAGGAGAGACUGAUUUGACAAACUGGUUUAUGACUAACCAGCAGCACAUGAUAAUAGUGACUCAAUUCCAAAACGGUUAAACAGAUAAACAUUAACUAAGGACCGUUUUUGAAGGCACAAGGCACAGCUGUGUUUUGGCUAAACAAAGUGAGUCGGACUACUUGGAAGAAACUUGAAGGAACAGAUCCUCUCUCCAAAAGGCCACAUAUUUCACAGUACAGAUCAUCUAGCAUUUCAUGCCAUUUUAGACUGGUAGCUUUUCUCUGAAUACGUCAUUUUAUGUUGUGUUACCUGUUUUAAUGGUUGCUUUACACAUACAAAUGCUGAUAUUUGUAUGUAGUGUUAAGAUAUUUUUAAAGGUGAAGUGUGUAAUAGCUGCACCCCUAGUGGCACAAAACAGAAUUGCAGUCUGUUUUGCAUUCAAAAUGGGCCAGACUUAAAGGGAUAGUUCACUAAAAAAAAUGACCAUUCUGUCAAAAUUUACUCACCCUCAA